rnacentral:rRNA from 1 species
AUCAGCCUUUCGGGUGCGAUUCUGUGGGGUUUGAGGAGCUUAACACCUUCAUGCUUUGCAUAUUCGUGCUCUUGGGUGUACUUGCCCGUGUGGUUGGUUAACAUCAAUUUUGGUGGUCAUAAAAUGACUGGGGGAAUGUAGCUUCGAUCUUGUAUUGAAGUGUUAUAGCCUUCGGUAGAUGUGAUGAUCGAGAUUGAGGAUUGCAACGGAUACCCUUCGGGGCUACCUGUCUGAUCUCUGAUCGUUGUUCUGGUGCCGAAAGCUUGCUUACGGUUAUCAAAGUCGAUGGUCAAUAGGUUAGAACGGGUUAAAUUCGUUAAGGAUGUUGACGUAAUGGCUUU